UUACAUCCCAAGAUUAAAACUCUUCCAUUUACACAAAACUAAGCCGUACGAGUUUUUUUCAAUGAAACAUUUCAAUUUUCCUUUCAAGACUAAAAUAAUAGAAUUAAAAAAUUAUUUUUAGACUAAAAAUUGAAAAAUCUGUAUUUAUAUAUAAAAAAAAUAAAGAAUAAUUGCGUAGAACAAGCAAGGGGAAGAGGAUAAGAAAUACCGGUGAUUUGUAUGAAUGAAGACGUAGUUGUUGGUUUGGUAGGAACUGGGUCGAUGGUUCUAUGGGGGACGGGUUUCUUACCACGAUAUAGUGGGGGUAAAAAUACGCGGAAGAAUACGUAACACCUGCUAUCAGCUAUAUACACUAUUUUUUAAUAUAUACGUCGUAGACGGAAGAAGCCUUUGAAUUCCUAUCUGCGUAGGGGAAAAAUAAAAACACCGCGUGACUGUUUUCGAGUCUUGCACACAAUAUAUAACCCAUGUAAAAAUAUAUGUGUAUGAAUUAAUAUGAGAGUCUUAUUAUAGUAUAUACAGCUAUUUUUUUCUAUUUUGUAUAUACAAGGAGAGUUAUCGCGUGCAGCUUAACUACCAAGCACACAAGCUCCCGGCGACCUUGACUGUGAAGUGUCACUCGGCGAGUGACUGACGUAUUAUGACUGUAAUUGGGAGACCAGCAUGCAGGGUAAUGAGCACGUGGUGACAUAUGAGAUGACCAGUAGUAGUGAUAUGACAUCGUAAGACUAUCGAUCGUUAAUUUCCGCAUGGAAGUCGUCAUCAAAGGUGUAAACAAACAUUACGACGUUUUGAAAUAUAAGCCGACUAGUAUCGUAUAAAUUUUAAUUUGCGUGUACUAAUAAUAUCACUAGUAUUUAUUAAAGUGACUGGUUUAUGCUA